AGAGUUUGAUCCUGGCUCAGAGCGAACGCUGGCGGAAUGCUUAACACAUGCAAGUCGCACGCCCCGGCAACGGGGAGUGGCGGACGGGUGAGGAACGCGUAGGAACAUGUCCAGAGGUGGGGGACAACCCUGGGAAACCGGGGCUAAUACCGCAUACGGCCUGAGGGCCAAAGCCGAAAGGCGCCUUUGGAGCGGCCUGCGUCCGAUUAGCUUGUUGGCGGGGUAACGGCCCACCAAGGCUCCGAUCGGUAGCUGGUCUGAGAGGACGAUCAGCCACACUGGGACUGAGACACGGCCCAGACUCCUACGGGAGGCAGCAGUGGGGAAUAUUGGGCAAUGGGCGCAAGCCUGACCCAGCAAUUCCGCGUGGGUGAAGAAGGUCUUCGGAUUGUAAAGCCCUUUCGGCGGGGACGAUGGUGACGGUACCCGCAGAAGAAGCCCCGGCCAACUUCGUGCCAGCAGCCGCGGUAAUACGAAGGGGGCUAGCGUUGCUCGGAAUCAUUGGGCGUAAAGGGCGCGUAGGCGGCCUUGUUAGUCAGGCGUGAAAUCCCCGGGCUCAACCCGGGGACUGCGCUUGAUACGGCAAGGCUCGAGGGUGGAAGAGGGCCGCGGAAUUCCCAGUGUAGAGGUGAAAUUCGUAGAUAUUGGGAAGAACACCGGUGGCGAAGGCGGCGGCCUGGUCCAUUUCUGACGCUGAGGCGCGACAGCGUGGGGAGCAAACAGGAUUAGAUACCCUAGUAGUCC
rnacentral:rRNA from 1 species